rnacentral:rRNA from 1 species
GAUGAACGCUGGCGGCGCGCCUAACACAUGCAAGUCGAACGAUUAAACCGCCCUUGGGCGGAUAUACAGUGGCGAACGGGUGAGUAACGCGUGACCAACCUUCCCCCCACAUCGGGACAACCCGGGGAAACCCGGGCUAAUACCGGAUAUGCCGGGUAUGGCGCAUGUCAUACCCAGGAAAGCUUUUGCGGCGGGGGAUGGGGUCGCGUCCCAUCAGGUAGACGGCGGGGUAGUAGCCCACCGUGCCAACGACGGGUAGCCGGGUUGAGAGACCGACCGGCCACAUUGGGACUGAGAUACGGCCCAGACUCCUACGGGAGGCAGCAGUGGGGAAUCUUGCGCAAUGGGGGAAACCCUGACGCAGCGACGCCGCGUGCGGGAUGGAGGCCUUCGGGCCGUGAACCGCUUUCAGCAGGGAAGACAUUAAGGACGGUACCUGCAGAAGAAGCCCCGGCUAACUACGUGCCAGCAGCCGCGGUAAUACGUAGGGGGCGAGCGUUAUCCGGAUUCAUUGGGCGUAAAGCGCGCGCAGGCGGCGCACCAGGCGGGAUCUCGAAACCGGGGGCUCAACCUCCGGGCGGAUCCCGAACCGGUGUGCUCGAGUGCGGUAGAGGAAGUCGGAAUUCCCGGUGUAGCGGUGAAAUGCGCAGAUAUCGGGAAGAACACCGAUGGCGAAGGCAGACUUCUGGGCCGACACUGACGCUCAGGCGCGAAAGCUGGGGGAGCGAACAGG